rnacentral:rRNA from 1 species
GGGAUUGCCUNAGUAACGGCGAGUGAAGCGGCAACAGCUCAAAUUUGAAAUCUGGCCCUUUCAGGGUCCGAGUUGUAAUUUGUAGAGAGUGUUUCGGGGGAGACCAUGGUCUAAGUCUAUUGGAACAUUACGUCAUAGAGGGUGAGAACCCCGUAUGCGACCGUGGCUCGAACCCAUGUGAAGCCUCUUCGACGAGUCGAGUUGUUUGGGAAUGCAGCUCAAAAUGGGUGGUAAAUUUCAUCUAAAGCUAAAUACUGGCUGGAGACCGAUAGCGCACAAGUAGAGUGAUCGAAAGAUGAAAAGCACUUUGGAAAGAGAGUCAAACAGUACGUGAAAUUGUUGAAAGGGAAGCGCUGGCAACCAGACCUGUCCGUAGGCGAUCAGCCGCUGUUUUCAGCGGUGCACUCGUUCUGCGAUCAGGCCAGCAUCGGUUUCGGCGGUCGGAUAAAGGCUCGGGGAACGUAGCUCCCUCUCGGGGGAGUGUUAUAGCCCCGGGCGCAAUGCGGCCAGCCGGGACCGAGGACCGCGCAUUUAUGCUAGGAUGCUGGCGUAAUGGUUGUCAGCGACCCGUCUUGAAACACGGACCAAGGAGUCUAACAUCUAUGCGAGUGUUUGGGUGUCAAACCCAUGCGCGGAAUGAAAGUGAACGGAGGUGAGAACCCUUUAGGGCGCAUCAUCGACCGAUCCAGAAGUUUACGGAUGGAUUUGAGUAUGAGCAUAGCUGUUGGUACCCGAAAGGUAUGUCUAUAUCCCCAUUCUCCUAUAUGGAAUUCUUAGCUAACUUUUUUUCGAAAGAUGGUGAACUAUGCCUGAAUAGGGUGAAGCCAGAGGAAACUCUGGUGGAGGCUCGCAGCGGUUCUGACGUGCAAAUCGAUCGUCAAAUUUGGGUAUAGGGGCGAAAGACUAAUC